UACGGAGGAUCCAAGCGUUAUCCGGAAUUACUGGGCGUAAAGAGUUGCGUAGGUGGCAUUGUAAGUCUGUAGUGAAAGCGUGGGGCUCAACCCCAUACACAUUAUGGAAACUGCAAAGCUAGAGGACGAGAGAGGCAUCUGGAAUUCCUAGUGUAGGAGUGAAAUCCGUAGAUAUUAGGAGGAACACCGAUGGCGUAGGCAGGGUGCUGGCUCGUUCCUGACACUAAGGCACGAAAGCGUGGGGAGCAAACGGG
rnacentral:rRNA from 1 species